rnacentral:rRNA from 1 species
AGAGCUCAAAUUUAAAAUCUGGCAGUUCCCUGAGCUGUCCGAGUUGUAAUCUAGAGAAGUGCUUUCCGUGCUGGACCGUGUACAAGUCUCUUGGAAUGGAGCGUCAUAGAGGGUGAGAAUCCCGUCUUUGACAUGGACUACCAGCACUUCUGUGAUGCACUCUCGAAGAGUCGAGUUGUUUGGGAAUGCAGCUCAAAAUGGGUGGUAAAUUCCAUCUAAAGCUAAAUAUGGGCGAGAGACCGAUAGCGAA